rnacentral:rRNA from 1 species
AGUGAACGCUGGCGGUAGGCCUAACACAUGCAAGUCGAACGGCAGCACAGUAAGAGCUUGCUCUUACGGGUGGCGAGUGGCGGACGGGUGAGGAAUACAUCGGAAUCUACUUUUUCGUGGGGGAUAACGUAGGGAAACUUACGCUAAUACCGCAUACGACCUACGGGUGAAAGCAGGGGAUCUUCGGACCUUGCGCGAGUGAAUGAGCCGAUGUCGGAUUAGCUAGUUGGCGGGGUAAAGGCCCACCACGGCGACGAUCCGUAGCUGGUCUGAAAGGAUGAUCAGACACCUGGGCAGUGAGACAGGGCCCCGACUCUUACGGGAGGAAGCAGUGGGGAAUAUUGGACAAUGGGGGCAAGCCUGAUACAGCAAUACCGCGGGGGUGAAGAAGGCCUUCGGGUGGUAAAGCCCUUUUGUUGGGAAAGAAAAGAAGCAGGUUAAUACCCCGCUGUUCUGACGGUACCGAAAGAAUAAGCACCGGCUAACUUCGUG